GGCACACGGCAGAAAUUCUGGAGGGCGACGUUACAUUGCUUACGCUAGACCUGAGGGGGCGGGUAAUUCAAAGAGUGAAGCUAGCCGGAUGCUUAAGGAAUCAACCGAGGCAGAUUAUCGACAUGGUGUCAAACCCCCGUAUCGGGGUGGAGUCGUUGCUGGUGAUGGUCAUCAGAAAAGCACCAGCCCAGCAGAAGGCAGGGAGAGCCAGAGUCUGGCUGGGGAAGUGCUUCAGACUCUAGACAGAGAAGGCCUAUAAGACAGAUGCAGGUAGAACACAUGCACACACACACUCACACACUGCUCAACACUCUCCAGCUACCAGGCAAAAGGGAGGUUCUUUCUUCCACCACACUGGUCAUUUAGUUUGUCACUGGAUCUCCCAACUUAAUGGCGUUUGGGCUGCUCUAAGUGUUUGUUUGUUUGCAUUGUGUCCCUCUGUAGUUGGAAAUUCCUCGUGGGGGAGAGCUGCGCGUCAUCGGAGUGCUACUUGGGAGCGUUCCUGGUGGACGGACCAGCGCAGAACCGUCUCCACGCUUGAAAGUGACAAAGCGGGUCCCUGCCACACUGGCCGGUAGCGACUUGCUGUCUGGAUUGUAUACUGGAUUGGGAUGACUCCUCUUUGGUGUGGGUUGAUCUAUUGCAGUGUUUUUUUUCUGUGGAUUCUAUAUGUGGGGUCGUGGUUUAAGUAUUGCAAACUGAUAAUACCUUUUGGGGGGAAGGCUUGUAUCUUGCUUUUGUGUGGACCUUGUGUGGGGGUUUUCAUGUUAGACAUGGUUGGCCAUUAGUGGGGUUUAUGCCUAUCGCCUAGUGGGGUUCUAUGUACAGUGAAUCUGUGCCUACAGUCCUGUAUCCAGUCUCCUUGUGGCAAAUAAACAUUUGUAUAACCA